CGUGUAGGUGGCUAAUUAAGUCAGGUGUGAAAUCCUUCCGCUUAACGGAAGAAGUGCACUUGAAACUGCUUAGCUAGAGUACGGGAGAGGAAGGUGGAAUUCCUGGUGUAGAGGUGAAAUUCAUAGAUAUCGGGAAGAACACCGGUGGCGAAGGCGGCCUUCUGGCCCGGUACUGACGCUGAGACGCGAAAGCGUGGGGAGCAAACA
rnacentral:rRNA from 1 species